rnacentral:lncRNA from 1 species
CAUUUAUCAAAAGUUCACAACAUUUAAGGAACACCUCUCUUGGAUUUCCGUUUUUGGCUAAGAAGUCCACAAACUCAUCGGCCUCAUUUUGUACUUUCCCAACAUAUGGAAGCACCAUUCCUAUAAUGUCCCAGGAAAUUUCGCGUGUUAUAUGGUCCUAAUUGCAACAUUAUUAGGAGAAUUCAUAUUUAAUUACAUGAAUAUUUUUACUUACAUUCUUUUCUUGCUUCAAUUCUUCAUGUAGACACUUAAUCAACUCUCGCUGCUCAUCAAUAUCCUUUAUUCGCGCUUCUUCCAAUAUCAAUUCGAGUAGCGUUGAGUAGGUAAUAUAAUCUUUGGUUUCAAUGGCUACCUUGGCGGCACCUGGAAUCGCUUCUUUCCAGUCCAUUCUUCUUAUGAAUAUUAAGGUGUGAGGUAAACGGACGAAAGAUAAUUUACGAGGCAGACUAUAUCAGAAUUAAAUGAUUUUAAGAUUAUAUUGUUCUACAAAAGAUUUGAAAAUAUUAAAGGAAUUCGAAGCAAGCUCAUAAAAACUUAAAUCACUGUUAACGUUCACGCUUCAAAAAAUGCCAGAAUCAAUUAGCAAGCGUUGUAAGGCUUGAUCUUCAGAUUCACGUGGUUCUACAGUUAAACUUCUUUGAUAGAUGUUAUUCGUGUUUCGCUCUCUCGAUAUAACUUCAUUAAGAAGCUCUUGAACUUCGUUGAUGGGAUUAAACAUGUACCCAACAGAUUGAAACUUUUUUAUCUCAUUCAAAAUUCUAGUGACUUUGGUGCGCUUAUCGAAAUUGAUCAUGUUUUGAAAGUUAUCUUUAUUUCCAGUUUUAAGGAAAGUCAGAUCAGUGAAGUAAACACCUAAGAAAGGGACACAUGGCAAGACACAGUUCUCCAGACAAUCUCUAUAAUUACUGAAAUUUUUCCUUGCCUCUGUCAAAUUGUUUAGAAGCUCAAAACUAGCCAAUGUUUUACUAUUCAAAUUUGCCCAUGUCUUACGCAGCCGAUGAAUGGGUGAGGAAUUUAACGCAGAAAUGAUGGAAAAUAAACUAGCAAAAUUGUUAAGCUCUCUCAAAUAAUCACAGACCUGAAUAAAAUAUGCUAGCACAUUGGUACGUCUGCGAGGUUCUUCUUCUUGCACGAUGGUUUCGGUCACAAAGUUAACCAGAUGAUUCGACAAAUAAAAGGUCGAAGUUUUUUCUUUGGGUGAGAAUCUGUUAAGAUUGUCCCAGAUUUUAGUUAGGAACUGAAUCCUUGAUAUGUGUGAAAAUGAUUGAAACUCUAAGAUACAUAACUGCUUUGCAAUUUCACGAGGAGGUAGAAGUAAAACCAAUUCAUCCUUAUAUAUAAUUGGAUCAGGGGAAUUAUGGAGAGAAAGAUCCUCUAAUUCUUGGGAUAGCUCUUUUCCCUCUAGCAUUUUAUGUGAUCUUUUUGUAGAGGGAUGAUGAAGUAGGUGUGAUAAAGAAUGCAAUAAUUCUUCAGCAGAUGCAAAAUGUGGAACUACAAAGACUUCAAAAACUUUAUAAAUUUUAAACAAAAAGAAUAUUGACUUGGAAUUGUCCAACUCUUCAACAAGAUACGAUUCGAACCAAAUAAGAAGUAUAUCCAAAAACCUCUUACUAACUCGGUAAAAUUCGUGAGAAAUAAAAGAAAUUUUUCCAAAAUUUAAUGAGCAGAUGAACCGAAAAUGUGCUCCAAGUAUGGAAAAUAAAUCUGAAGAACUGAUCAUACUAGCGUAUGUGUUUAAAAAGAUAGUAGUAAAAAAUGUACUAUCUAUAUCUGUCCUUAGAAGGUAAUUUAUAAUGAACACUAAAGUGGCUGUUUUUAUUUUUCCAUCUUGUUCAAUUUUACCAUUACAUGACCAAAAUGAAAACAAAAGGUUUCGGAUCAAUAAUGGCUCUGGUGAAGUCUGUUUCAUUAAAUAACAAACUAAUCCUUUAGAGUCGAACCAGUUGGUUUUAUUGAGGUCAAAACCAUCAAGUUGGGACUUCUCCGCAUCAUUCAAUUCUGGUUGGAUAUUUGUGAGGAAUUUGUAUUCUAGAGAAAGAAACACAAUUCUUUCUGAAAAUUGAACAAUUAUUGACUUGAUCCGAAGAAGGGAUACUUUCAAGGUUACUAGUAAAUCAACAAAAAGGGAAUAAUUGUCCAGUAAACAAUCGCUAGGUGAGAUUUGCUCCAAGUCGAUACUCCACAAAUAUAAAUCACAUAAGUUAGAAGACAGUUCAUCCUUCAAGGCUUCAACAUCUUGAGAAGUGAAAGAAAAAGGGUUAUUUUCAGAGGAAGAAUAAUUUAUUCUUUGAUUUGCAGACAAGAAUCGCCUACAACAUUGAAUGCAUCUAUCGAUGUCCUCUAGAAUAUCUAGUUUCCAAGCUUCUAGUGCAUCUUCCGCAACUAGCUGUAGUACUUUUUGGGUUGUAUUUUCAGUUAGCUUCUGUGCUUCUAAAUUCCAAAAUUCAUUCUCAGUGCAAUGGUAAGCUUCGUGUGAAAGUGACAAAAUUGCAACAAAGGAAGUAAUAUCAGGUUGGAGAUUUGUAUGUGCUGAUUGUACAGAAUUGGAACAGAGCAUAUUAAAAUCCCAUGGCAAGAAAUGUAUUUCAUGCGCUAUCAAAGAGCCCAAAAAGUAAGAAGGGAAGGAAACAUCGGGCCUGAAGAAAAACAAAAACUUAUUAGCCAAUUGCUUCAAAAGCUUAGUAAAUCUGAUGCAAAGUUCACCAUAAGUGCAACCCAUUCGGCUCAACUCUGGCAAUAAAUUUAAUGAGGAGAACACUUGCGCGACUUCUGAGAGAAAAUUUUCAUCUAAUGUAGAAAGGAUUAUCAAGGGAAAUGAAAGAACCAUACUACGAACAGUUUCAAUUCCAAAAACGAUCACUUGAGUGCCUUCCUUUUUUAUAGAUUGUGACACAGCGGCAGCGGUGGUGAGAAUCCCUUUUACAAGGUGGUGAAUGUCAUUUUGAAGAUUUUUUCUUAAGAACUCUUCUGAAGAAGGGAUACUAUUUAUCGCUUGCACUCCGUGUUUCUCAAACCAUGCAGAAUCUUGAAGAUGAGCCUCUACGUGAAACGGCGCACAACAUUGAGCAUUUGGGUCUUUCUCAUUCGAUGAAUGAAAACUUGAAAAAAAAUUUUGAAUUUUUGAAGAAUCAAUGCACGACGUGGGGAACCAACCUCGUUUUUCUGAGCAAAUUCCGUCGCACCAACCGUCCUCGAGCACUUCUAUAACUAUGAUAGUGUCUCCUGCAGAAAAUUUUAAAAAUGAAGGAUUAGAGCUGUUCUCAUAAUCACUUAUUGCGGUCGUUUGAAACCUCAUUUUCGUAAGGGUCCAUGAAUGCUAUCAAUUCCACGAUUCAUUUAUUUUUGAAAGAAAAGAGGAAAUAUACCUUCUUAAGUUAUUUCAGUAUUUUCCUGCUUUUAAAAUAAAGAAAACACCCGUUUAUUUAAAAAAAAAGCUUGUUUUCCCAUUAUUAGCCAUUUUGGGAAUUUCUUUGUUUACUAACAAUGGGCUACUACAAUAGAAAUUACCUGUGAAUUUGGCGCGUCGCGUUUUGUCACUACGCAACUGUAAUAUUACAUACAGUAUUUCACUAGACUAUGUUGUCAAUCACUUUCACAAUGGACUCACCUAAAACCUGUGGGUAUGCGACUAUUCCGCAAUACAGUAAUACUUCGUUGUUUUCACUAUUCAACCCUAUCCUUCGCUAUUCAAUAAAUACAGAAAGAAAAAUGUUCUUCCUGAAAAAUAAAACAGAUUGUCCUUCUGGUAGCGUUUUUCUAAAAAAAAAAGUUGAAUUCUUUUCUAUUGAUCCAAACUUGAUGACUAUUGUUAAAGGAAUAGACCAGUGAAUUUAAAAGCUUUUGCGACUAUCCUUGACCGAUUCAUUUUAGGCAGUAAAAAUACGCAAAAAAAUUUUAUGUAUCGCUAUAUUUAAAUACCGUAUGUCAUGAUAGUCGACUCCACUUUAU